UACGGAGGAUCCAAGCGUUAUCCGGAUUCAUUGGGCUUAAAGGGUGCGUAGGCGGAGUGAUAAGUCAGUGGUGAAAUCUCUUCGCUUAACGAAGAAACUGCCAUUGAUACUGUCAAUCUUGAGUACAUUUGAUGUGGGCGGAAUGUGUCAUGUAGCGGUGAAAUGCUUAGAUAUGACACAGAACACCGAUUGCGAAGGCAGCUCACAAAACUGUAACUGACGCUGAGGCACGAAAGCGUGGGUAUCAAACAGG
rnacentral:rRNA from 1 species